UUAAGUUCAGUGGUAGUCCUACCUGAUUUGAGGUCAAGCCUCAAUUCACUAGUUACUAGUAGCUAGUGCAUAGUUAGAAGCAUGAAACAUAUCGACCCAAGCACUUCCAGCCCGCGACGAUCACUACGACGUCGAACAGGCCGUGCCAUGCAAAGGCUCGCGCCCACCGCUAAUGCAUUUGAGGAGAGCCGACAUCCCUU
rnacentral:misc_RNA from 1 species